rnacentral:hammerhead_ribozyme from 1 species
UAGCGAAACAGGGCGGGCGCGGCCUCCACCGCGCCAUGCCAUGUCGCCCGGAUGUGGUGAUCCGGGCCUGAUGAGCAGCCAGAC